rnacentral:rRNA from 1 species
GCCUAAAAAGCUAGCCCGACCAAUCUUAAAACAAACCCCUAUAAAUUUAACAGCCAAAAAUCAAUCAACAAAACAUUUUUCCCCCUUAGUACAGGUGAUAAAAAAGGAACCCCGGCGCAAUAGAGAAAGUACCGCAAGGGAAAGCUGAAAGAGAAAUGAAAUAACUACCACAAGCCUAAAAAGCAGAGACUACCUCUCGUACCUUUUGCAUCAUGAUUUAGUAAGUAUCCUUGAGCAAAGAGAACUUUAGUUCAAACCCCCGAAACUAGACGAGCUACUUCAAGACAGCCUGCCGGAUAACACUCGUAGGGCACACCCGUCUCUGUAGCAAAAGAGUGGGAAGAUCUUCAAGUAGAGGUGAUAAACCUAUCGAGCCUAGUAAUAGCUGGUUGUCUAAAAAGUGAAUCUAAGUUCAGCCUCCUAAAUCCCCCCCAUCAAUGGCAUAUACCCCAUCAGACCGACGGCGAUUAAGAGAGUUAGUCAAAGAGGGUACAGCCCCUUUGAAAAAGGACACAACCUCAACCGGAGAUAAAAGACCACAUAACUACAGGAAACUUAUUCUAGUGGGCCCGAAAGCAGCCACCUAAAAAGAAAGCGUUACAGCUCCCAUAAAUAUACCCCUUAAAUACCGAACCAUACUCUUCACUCCCCCUCCCCACUAUUAGACCCUCCCAUAAACCCUGGGAAAGACCCUGCUAAAAUGAGUAAUAAGAGGAAACGCCCCUCUCCUAACACAUGUGUAAAUCGGAACGGACUUCCCCCCGACAAUUAACGAACCCCCAACGAGGGAACUGUAAUACUAUAUAGACGGCAAGAAACCAUCACACAACUACUCGUUAGCCCAACACAGGUGUGUACUUUUGGAAAGACUUAACCAAAGGGAAGGAACUCGGCAAACACAAGCUUCGCCUGUUUACCAAAAACAUCGCCUCUUGCAAAAUGAACAAAUAAGAGGUCCCGCCUGCCCAGUGAUUAAAUUAAACGGGCGCGGUAUUUUGACCGUGCAAAGGUAGCGCAAUAAAUUGUCUCUUAAUUAGAGAGUAGUAUGAAUGGCAUCACGAGAGCUUAGCUGUCUCCCCUUUAAAGUCAAUGAAAUUGAUCUCCCCGUGCAGAAGCGGGGAUACAAUCGUAAGACGAGAAGACCCUAUGGAGCUUAAGAUAUAAAUCAACUCACGUCAAAUACCCUUAAAUGGAAAUGAACAAAAUGAGCCUUGCCAGUAUGUCUUCGGUUGGGGCGACCACGGGGAAAGACAAAACCCCCACAUGGACGGGCCACUCAGCCCUAAAACAUAAACCCACAGGUUAAAUUGACAGAACUUCUGACCACUAAGACCCGGAUUACACCGAUCAAUGGACCUAGUUACCCUAGGGAUAACAGCGCAAUCCCCUCCAAGAGUCCUUAUCGACGAGGGGGUUUACGACCUCGAUGUUGGAUCAGGACAUCCUAAUGGUGCAGCCGCUAUUAAGGGUUCGUUUGUUCAACGAUUAAAGUCCUACGCGAUCUGAGUUCAGACCGGAGUAAUCCAGGUCAGUUUCUAUCUACAAAUUGAUCUUUUUUAGUACGAAAGGACCAAAAAGAGGAAGCCUCUGUUAACCACACGCUUCACCUUCUAUUAAUGAACCCAAAUAAAAUAAAAAGAGGGCAAAAUCUCCUGCCCUAAAACAGGGCUA